rnacentral:rRNA from 1 species
AAAACUUUCAACAACGGAUCUCUUGGUUCUGGCAUCGAUGAAGAACGCAGCAAAAUGCGAUAAGUAAUGUGAAUUGCAGAAUUCAGUGAAUCAUCGAAUCUUUGAACGCACAUUGCGCCCGCCGGCACUCCGGCGGGCAUGCCUGUCCGAGCGUCAUUUCAACCCUCAGGACCCCCUUCCGGGGGGGACCUGGUGCUGGGGACCAGCGGCCUCCGGGCCCCUGCCCCCCAAAUACAGUGGCGGUCGCGCCGCAGCCUCCCCUGCGUAGUAGCACACCUCGCACCGGAGAGCGGCUCGGCCACGCCGUGAAACCCCCAAUUUUUCAAGGUUGACCUCGGAUCAGGUAGGAAUACCCGCUGAACUUAAGCAUAUCAAUAAGCGGAGGAAAAGAAACCAACAGGGAUUGCCUCAGUAACGGCGAGUGAAGCGGCAACAGCUCAAAUUUGAAAUCUGACGUCUUAGACGUUCGAGUUGUAAUUUGUAGAGGUAGCUAUGGGUUACGGCCAGGUUUAAGUUCCUUAGAACAGGACGUCAUGGAGGGUGAGAAUCCCGUAAAUGACUUGGUUAGUGCCUGUGUAUAGCGCCUUCGAAGAGUCGAGUUGUUUGGGAAUGCAGCUCUAAGCGGGUGGUAAAUUCCAUCUAAAGCUAAAUAUUGGCGAGAGACCGAUAGCGCACAAGUAGAGUGAUCGAAAGGUGAAAAGCACUCCGGAAGGAGAGUUAAACAGCACGUGAAAUUGUUGAAAGGGAAGCGCUUGAGGCCAGACUCAUGUAGGGUUGAUCAGCCUUCAUUCUUGAUGGUGCACUCUUCCCUGCUUGGGCCAGCAACAGUUUUGACGGUGGGAUAAAGGUGGAGGGAAUGUGGCUCCCUUGGGAGUGUUAUAGCCCUUUAUGCAAUGCCAUCAGUUGAGACUGAGGACCGCGCUUUGGCUAGGUUGCUGGCAUAAUGGUCUUAAGCGACCCGUCUUGAAACACGGACC